rnacentral:lncRNA from 1 species
GUAUUCAGUGGGACUGCCCGGCAGUCACGGGCUCUAGGCCUGGUCAGACCUGCUCCCUUCCUCAGUCGAGGGGAGAGAGGUGCAUCCAUCCCCAGCAGGGCACCCGCUGCAGCUCUGGUACCCCAGCCAGCUCCAGGCUGGGCGCCCAUUGCAGCUUCGGUACCCCAGCCAUCUCCAGCACGGCGGGUGCCCUGUCUCCGUGGCCAGCUACCAAAGAAGAGACAACAUCCAGCAGCAGCCAUGCCCGCAGGACUCCAGGGAACAAGGACGGAAUGAGAAUUGAGAAGCAGAGCUGAGCUGUGACUCAAGCACCAGGCUGGCUGCCACACAGCAUCCCUGUGACACUCAGACGCCAUCUAACGUGUUCCAGUAAAACUGACCAGUCACAUCAGCUCAAACCCUACCUAGAUCUGGUGAUGAGCCCCUGCUCACCCCAAAAUUUCCCACAUGUUCAUGAAAGAUGAUUGACUCCAGAACGGAACAUGACACACGUGCUGAGACAUCAGCAUGGAGUAAGCAGGCGCUGUGGGCCAGGCCCGGUCUCCGGACAGCUGCGCUCCCUCCAGACUCCACGGUCCUACAGACAAUGAAUAUUAUGCAACCAAAAUGUCCUGGGAAUUCAGAGCCAAAGGCAGCAUUCUUAGGAAAUGCCUCCCGCUCUCCUGCCGUGGCAUAGAGCUCUGCUGGGCUCUG